CCUACGAACGUUACGGCAGGCCUAACACAUGCAAGUCGCACGAGAAUCUGGCUUCGGCCAGUAGUAAAGUGGCGGACGGGUGAGUAACACGUGGAUAAUCUGCCCUUCGGCGGGGGACAACAGUCCGAAAGGAUUGCUAAUACCGCAUACGUCAGCGAGGUCUUCGGACCUUGUUGGGAAAGAUGGCCUCUCCAUGGAAGCUAUCACCGAAGGAUGAGUCCGCGGCCCAUCAGCUAGUUGGCGGGGUAAUGGCCCACCAAGGCUAAGACGGGUAGCUGGUCUGAGAGGAUGAUCAGCCACACUGGAACUGAGACACGGUCCAGACUCCUACGGGAGGCAGCAGUGGGGAAUAUUGGGCAAUGGGCGCAAGCCUGACCCAGCCAUGCCGCGUGAGUGAUGAAGGCCUUCGGGUCGUAAAGCUCUGUGGGGAGGGAAGAAACGCCGUAUGGCUAAUAUCCAUGCGGUUUGACGGUACCUCCUUAGCAAGCACCGGCUAACUCCGUGCCAGCAGCCGCGGUAAUACGGAGGGUGCAAACGUUGCUCGGAAUCAUUGGGCGUAAAGCGCACGUAGGCGG
rnacentral:rRNA from 1 species